rnacentral:sRNA from 1 species
UCAUUGGUUUAGCAUUUCUAGUAGUCGGUGUCUUGCUGGCAUUUUUACCUGGAACUAUUUUGUCCUCCGUAUAUGACCAAGUGAAGGCAGCUGUUUCGAGUACAACCAGCUAUAACAUCCCGACAUCGGCUGACGACCU